UGUUCUUCGUGAACAUGGCGUACUGCUCAGUAACACGUGGAUAACCUGCCCUUGGGUCCGGCAUAACCCCGGGAAACUGGGGAUAAUUCCGGAUAACGCACAUAUGCUGGAAUGCUUUAUGCGUCAAAUGGAUUCGUCUGCCCAAGGAUGGGUCUGCGGCCUAUCAGGUAGUAGUGGGUGUAAUGUACCUACUAGCCGACGACGGGUACGGGUUGUGAGAGCAAGAGCCCGGAGAUGGAUUCUGAGACAUGAAUCCAGGCCCUACGGGGCGCAGCAGGCGCGAAAACUUUACAAUGCGGGAAACCGUGAUAAGGGGACACCGAGUGCCAGCAUCAUAUGCUGGCUGUCCGGGUGUGUAAAAUACACCUGUUAGCAAGGGCCGGGCAAGACCGGUGCCAGCCGCCGCGGUAACACCGGCGGCCCGAGUGGUGAUCGUGAUUAUUGGGUCUAAAGGGUCCGUAGCCGGUUUGGUCAGUCCUCCGGGAAAUCUGACGGCUUAACCGUUAGGCUUUCGGAGGAUACUGCCAGGCUUGGAACCGGGAGAGGUAAGAGGUACUACAGGGGUAGGAGUGAAAUCUUGUAAUCCCUGUGGGACCACCUGUGGCGAAGGCGUCUUACCAGAACGGGU
rnacentral:rRNA from 1 species